UUGGGGGGGGGGUGUUGGGGGUGAAGGUCAAGAAGACAGUUCUGAUCAGUUAAACAGCUUUCAACUGAUUGCUUCAACCGACUCCGAAUACAGGAAGAAGUAUUGUCCUGGGGACCAUGCAACAGCCUACCACACGUGCGGUAUGGGCCUCUGUCUCCUCCGUGGGGUAUGGGCCUCUGUCUCCCCACACGUGAGGUAUGGGUCUCUGUCUCCCCACACGUGUGGUAUGGGCCUCUGUCUCCUCCGUGGGGUAUGGGCCUCUGUCUCCCACGGGGUGUCUCGGCCCCCUUCAGUCUCUGUAGGUCCUUCUAUAACCAGUGAUUCACAGAUGGGCCCUGAGAGCCUGGGAGGGAGAGGCUGGGUCCUGAAAUUGGACGCUGCCCCUCCCAUCUGCCUGAGCCCACACCAACUGCUGCUCUUUCAAGCUGUCACCGAGCCUCAAACACUGCACUUGUUGAAUGUCCUGUGACAAUUGUGAUGGCUGUCACACUGCCGCUUCUGUCAUGCCUGGGUGAGGCUAAGAGGAGCCCCCACAGCCCCUUGGCUCUUCAGGGAAAUGACGGUCUCCCUUUGUGUGUGCAGCGAGCCACUCAGUGGAUCACACAGCCCAGGGGAUGGGGUUUCUGUUCUGGCCCCCAAGCUCAUGCACAAUUUGGCUUGAAGUCCCUUCCCAGCUGGUCCCUGCAGAUCCUGAGCCCGCCGUAUCUCCCAACACCUCCCCCAAUGGUACACAUGUCCCCAGUGCUGGCCUCUGUCCUUACAGCUGCCACCCAAGACUGUGGGCAGGGCUCACCUUACAGCCAUAUGUCAUCUCUCCAGUGCCCACGGCGCCAUGGCUACUGACCCCUUUUACUGGGUGCUGGGGGCUGGAUUUGAGGUUUGGGAAUGUUUACCUAUUUGAACUUUAGCCUUACGUCAAUCAGAUAACACAUUUCCUAUGGAGCCUGAUGGCCAAGUCAGGUGGGGUAGCUAAGUGCUGAUUCUAUAGACUGCCACUGGGAUUCAUCCUCCAACAACCUUGGCCUCACAGCAUCUUCUGCUUCCACUGACACAGAGGAAAAGCCAGGAGAUAGAACAAUACGCUGAGGUCUGAUUUUGAAAACAAAUGAUAUCCCAUGGGAACUCAAGGCACUUAAUCAGCCAGCAGGCCAGGUUUGAAGAGAGGAGCUGCUGCCACUCAGUCAGACCCAGUGGUCCUGACUCAGUGAGGGGAAGACUGCAAAGAUGGAGGUGCACUGCCCCCUGCUGUGACACAGAGCUGGAGCCACACAACCUGCUGCGGUUGUGCAGAGUGAUGACAGAGCGUCCUUCACAACACAUCUGGAAGUGGGGUCAGUGAAUCUGACCUCUCGGAGAGACCAACACCCCUGCCAAAGUUAGGAAGGCGUAUACCCUGAGCUAAACCAACAGUCACAAGACAGACAGACCUAGGGCCAGGGAAGGUGCUGGAAAGUCGGUCACCAUGGCUGGCCCGCCCAGCCUGCCCAUGUUCAUGCUUGGGAAUGGCCUGCGGCCUGUGGCCUCUGGGAAUAUAUAGAAUGAAACUCAGGUUGUGAGGACACUGUGGCACCCUCCAUACCACCAGGCAGCAGAGCAGGCCUCUUCCUGAAAUGCUCCACAGACUUCUACACAGCGGGAGAACGGCACAUAAGUCUGUUAAACUUUAAACAUGACCACCUCCUAUUACCCCAGAAGGUAUGGUGGGUGGAGUCCCCAAGGCCCUGUACUCCAUGCAGCCAUUCACUAGGUAGAGUGCAGUGGAGCAGGAACGUUUGUGGAGGCGUGUGGAGAGCCCCGGGCUUGGCACAUGCCUUCUGAGAAGGAGGAGGUUACCUCCGAGCUCUGGAAAACAUCACAUCUCCUUUUAUGGGACCAGCCCCACUUCAGCCCACUGACCCCGGACACUUUCUCAUCAGUGGGGCACGGUGAGGCAGAGACAUAGGGUCAUCCUCAAAAGCCAAAAGCCGGAAGUGUUCAAGGUUCUAGGUUCAGGAUGAGUGAGUGGAUGAGCAGCCUGGAUGAGUCCUGUGCAUGGUGUAGACUAAGGGUCUUUGUGUGUAAGGGCUGCUCUGAGUUCCAGAGAGGAGCCUGUGACAUGCAGCUUCUCCCUCUCUGACUCGGUCUGCCCUUCUUCCCUGCAGCCCCCAGUACUUUCGUCCCUCUGGCCUCUUAAAACCCAUGUGGGCCCUAAGCUGAUGGCAGCUGAGCACACAUUCUGGCCAGCCCCACCCUACUGGGGAGGGGGAGAUGCCUCAGCUGCCUCGACUCAGGACAGCUGGAGGCCAGAGAGCCUGCUGGGACUCUGAUGACCACAGCACCGCUUUAUCAGGACAGGAACGUGCCAAACAACUCAGGACCCCUUAUCUCCAUGCCAGCCUGACCUGAGACCACCGGAGGACGGGAUAAGGGAUACCUGUUUCUGCUCACCUGUGUCAGGUGUCCCUUGUGUAGACACUGUGGAUGGCUACUGACCCAUGAAGCGUGGUUACAUGACCAUGAAAUGCGCCUCCAGUUCAGACACAAAUCAUUAAAUGUUGAGCACUUAGUGAGCAGCUUGAGAGAAACACGGGGAUUCUGGCGGGCACAGGAGCGGCAGAGACUCCCAAAGGGGACUGAGCAGCCUUUGACCCCACAGCCCAGGGCUUGGCUCUACUCACCGGGUAGACCCUAAGGGCAUCCUUCACUCGGCAUCAUCUGGUGACCCAUGGUGUCUACCCCAGCUUCACUAAGGUACAUGGGCAAAUAGACACCUUGGGUGGCUGAUGUGUAUGACCUGAUGUUUGUUCACACCAUGAGAUCGUUUCCAUGGCCACUCCAUUGCCUCAGCUGCAUGUGUGUCUGUGUGUUUGGUAGAGUUCAGACUCACUCAAAAAAUAUGCACCAGAGCCAGGCAGUGGUGGUGCACGCCUUUAAUCCCAGCACUUGGGAGGCGGAGGCAGGCGGAUUUCUGAGUUCGAGGUGAGCCUGCUCUAAAGAGUGAGUUCCAGGACAACCAGGGCUACACAGAGAAACCCUGUCUCAAAACAAAACAAAACAAAAAGCCCCAGUGUGGUAGUAACUGGUCUUGCCAUUCAGCGUUUCAGCCCUGUCAUUCUGUAUAACUGAGACUUUGUAUCCUUUGAGCCACGGAGGCCAACUCCAAUGUAACCAGCUCUUCUCUGCUCCCCAGCAUCCCACUCAGUACUCGGGAUAAGUUUGUUUUCCUCUCAGUAAGUUUUAAGAGCAUAAACAGGCCUGACUCAGUAUCUGGGGCCCCCUGUUGGAGAAGCAGGGAUGGCUGCACCCCUACUGAGGCAUGGGUCACUGGAGAGCAUACCUCAGCCAAGCCCCGCUUUCCUGCACAGGACAGCUCACCUGCAAGGAAGGCUCUGCUCUGUCAGUCACAAUGGGGGCUUACCAGAGGACUGUGCCCUCUCCUCCUCUCAUUCCUUUCUGGAGGUAUGGGUGGUGAGCCCUUUCGGGAGCCCUUCCAGGGCUCACACAGGAGUAAGGGCACACAGCACAGUUUUCUGCCUGGCUUACCUCACUCUUCACAGCCAGCCCCUCCCGGCUGCUGGAAUGGCAGGAUAUCUUUUUGUGGUUAAGUUGUAUCCCUGCGUCUAUGAACUAUGCCUUUGACUGCCACAGAUGACACCAAGGCUGACCCCUUGGCUGUUGUGACAUCUCAGUGAGCAGGGAAUGCAGGUGAGGGCCUGUGGGUGGCACAGCUGGAUUACACAGAGCUUCUAUUUUAGUGAGUUUUCUGUGAGGCUUAUGCUACUCUGCAUUCCCAUCAGCAGCCAUGCUUUCCCGCCUCUCCACAAAUCCUCUGUGGUGGCCUAGAAAGAGACAGCCACAAACACAGCAUCUAGGCACCUGCUGAUGAUGUUCGGUGUCUGACUUUGGGACCUUGGUUCCAUCACUGCUAUGAACUGUUCACUCAGAAGUCCAGACACAGAGCAGCGGACACGGAGCCAGCCCUGCCCACCACACACAGUUGAGCUAUGGCCCCGGGCAGUCUGCUCUUCCUUUUUAACCUCCUCAUAUAAGAUAGGGAUGAGAAUUGUCACCUUGAGGUCUGGAGGACGCCAUCUGGUAAAGCACAUCCUGUGGGCAGUGCUAACACUGUUGACAUCAGUACCCUGGCUUUAUGAGGACAUGGCCAGGCUCGCAGGUACACUGGCACUGGCAAGGGCCGAGUUUAAAAACACCAGAGUGUUAGCUGCAGUUGAGCUCCAGGUCUCAGGGGCUCCCUGGAGGUAGGAUGUGGGCCAGAGAAUGAGGGUGCACAGGAGGCUAAGGAGAGGGGGUCACCUAGAUUGUGCCCUUGAUCCAUGUCAACACCCGUUUCUUCAUCUACUUUCCCUCCAGGAUGCCAGAGAUGGAGGAGAGCCUGGGCAGUGACAGAAAGGUGGUUCUUGCUGGCUCUUGGGGCACUCUGACCUUUUCUGUAUAUCCCUGAUAAGAUGGCCUAAGAGGACUGGUGGGGAUCUGUUGGCAUGAGACACAGAGCCAGUGGGCAUCAGGGGUAUGACUAUCCUCCAAAUGGCUCCUACCAUAUUGUCAGUGCGCCAGAACCAAGCCCACAGCCCAGGCAUAAGAGGUGCCUACAAGUGGCAGGGCUACCUAUUGCUAGAGGGAUGAUGCUCCAGUCCUUCUUCCUGUCCCUGCAUCCUGCUCCUGCAUCCUGCCCCUACCCAUCCAAGGAUCUCAUAGUGUCCCUUGUAUAGUGCCCCAGAAAGAGCUAGUUUCCAGGUACUGAGUUCUCAAACACCCCAGUCCAGGAGUCAUGGCCGUAUGGCCACACUCCCCUCUGGGCUCAGGACAGGAAGGGAAUGAGUCUUGGAGCAUAUCUUUUUUGUUUGUUUGUUUUCGAGACAGGGUUUCUCUGUGUAGCCUUGGCUAUCCUGGAACUCACUCUGUAGACCAGGCUGGCCUCGAACUCAGAAAUCUGCCUACCUCUGCCUCCCAAGUGCUGGGAUCAAGGGUGUGUGCCACCACUUCCAGGCUGGAACAUAUCUUUGAAGGAGCAAGCAGACUGGACCUGGACCUGGCAUGGUGAGGUCCUGGCCAUUCCAGCUCACUACAGAAGGUUCGAGGUCUGACCCAUGGUCCAUCACCUGGCUUGAGCAAUGCACUGCCCUCCCUGAAGCCACAGCUCAUGAGCCUUGCCCACACUCUCAAUAUGACAUAAAAGUGACAUAAUGUCAAGGC